rnacentral:rRNA from 1 species
GAUGAACGCUAGCGGCAGGCUUAACACAUGCAAGUCGAGGGGUAACAGGGACUUCGGUCCGCUGACGACCGGCAAACGGGUGCGGAACACGUACGCAAUUUACCUCAUUCUGGAAGAUAGCCCGGAGAAAUCCGGAUUAAUACUCCAUAGUAUAUCGGGUGGGCAUCCAUUUGAUAUUAAAGCUCAGGCGGAAUGAGAUGAGCGUGCGUCCCAUUAGCUAGUUGGCGGGGUAACGGCCCACCAAGGCGACGAUGGGUAGCUGAUGUGAGAGCAUGAUCAGCCACACGGGCACUGAGACACGGGCCCGACUCCUACGGGAGGCAGCAGUGAGGAAUAUUGGGCAAUGGACGCAAGUCUGACCCAGCCAUGCCGCGUGAAGGAUGAAGGCGUUCUGCGUUGUAAACUUCUUUUAUCUGGGAAGAAACCUCAGUAUUCUUAUUGAGCCGACGGUACCAGAUGAAUAAGCACCGGCUAACUCCGUGCCAGCAGCCGCGGUAAUACGGAGGGUGCAANCGUUAUCCGGAUUCACUGGGUCUAAGGGUGUGUAGCGGGCUGUUAAGUCAGUGGUGAAAUCUCCGGGCUCAACCCGGAAACUGCCGUUGAUACUAUCAGUCUUGAAUU